GAUGUCUGAGGAAUAGUCUUAGUGGAUUAUCCCAAACUUGACACAUUUUUUGCAAAAUGCUAUACAAAAAGAAGAUACAUGCGAUUAUGACAAGAUUCUCCACUUGGUGUGACCAGUCUCAUACAACCCAAGGCUGUGUGUCCAAAGGCAACUGUACUUCUGGGACUGGAAACAAAUUGGGAACAUUUUUCAUUGCAUAUUUGGCUCAGAUCUGCCACUUAGUUGAAGUAUAAUCUUCAGCAAGUGACUCAAAAUUUCUGAAUCUCGUUUUCACCAUCAAUACAUGACAAUAGUAAUAUUUUCUCCUUUAAGUAUUUGAAAGUGUUGAGAAAGCCACAAUAGCAACACUUGCAAAAGUGCUCCAUUGUAAAAUGCAAAGGAGAGGUAGUUGUGACCCUUUGGGGAAAACUAUAGUUGCCACAAUUGUCUCUGAAAUGAAGCAUGUUUCUUAGACUGAAGGAAAGCCCUGGGAGAGAUUGGUCUAGCUUUAGGAUGACUGUGGGUAGAGCUUCUAGGGAGAAGAAUGAAACGUAUUCCUCUUUUCCUUUUCUCUAGGAAUACCGGAAAGCAUGUAUUUGUUUGCUAAAUUGCUCUCUUUCCACCAGUGAUAUCAAUUCUGAAAUACUUUUGAGAUCUUGACAAUAAUCAAAAGGUAGCCAGGUGCAUCGG
rnacentral:lncRNA from 10 species